AGAAAGAGAGAAGGGGAGGCAGAUUUCCUUCUGCUUUCUGGAAGCGAGUGAAGAGGUCCGACAGCAAGCUAAAGAAGGAGAAGAAACGAUGAUGCAGUAUCUUUUUGGCAUCUUCUCUGCCCUUUACAACAACAUCAGAUGUAGCCUGAGGCAAUUCCUGUACCUGAAGUAUGCAGAUGACUUUCUUUCUUAAAGAACCUGGAUGGUGGGUGAUGCUGGGAUGACUGCAUUCGUUCCCCCCUCCUGCUGUUCACUGGAAAUGUAAACAGUACAAACCUCCAUUCCCAUCCAGGCAUGCCAGCUUAAAUUGUGCUGCAUCACCAUUUCCUUUGGAAUGGAAAUGACAAUAAAUUCUGUCUGCAUAUUUUUAACAGGAAAAAAAUAGCUUUUUUUUUUUUAGUACAGAUACAAUCUGAUUUUUCUAAUUUUCUAAUUGUGUUUUUAAAAGUUGAAACCUAAAUAAUAUUAAUUACAACAGAAGCCACAAGAAAAAGCUUGCUUUUGAAGAAGUUAUGUUCUUUGUAAUGGAAUUUUAUUUUCUUAAAGAUAAGUGUAAUCUCUUCUUUCCAAUUUAGGUUUUAAAACAUGGACACAGUUUCAAGGAACCAGGAACGAAUUAUGGGGGUCUGUACAGAUAAUCCUCACUUAACAACAAUUUGUGUAGUGACUGAUUGAAAUUACAACAACACUGAAAAAAGUGACUUAUGAUCAUUUUUCAUACUUAUGACUGUUGCAGCAUCCUUAUG